CGGGACGUAGCGCAGCUUGGUAGCGCACUAUCUUGGGGUGAUAGGGGUCGCCAGUUCAAAUCUGGUCGUUCCGA
rnacentral:tRNA from 1 species